UGUGUAUGUGUAUGAGAAGAAGAAACAGAAAACAGAAAAGAAGAAGAGACUGGGCAGAAAUGCCCAAUCGGAGAAGAAGAAGAUGAGAGUGAACCAGAAGAAGGGAGAGGAAGAAGUUGACCAAUCAGGGGAAGGAAAGGAGGGAAAGGAGGGAGAGUGGUGCACGGGGGAACAGGAGGAAUGGGUCACCCUUGACCCGCGCGACCCAAGCUUCCAAAUCGGCGGGUUUUCGCUGUUUUCGUCCAAUUUUCCGACGAAUUGAGUCAAGGUACCACUCCUAAUCAUCAUCUAGGCCUUCCCUCUUCACGUUUCACCCCAAGAAUCAUUGAAUUUCGUUGUGAUUUCGCGAAGAACACCCCUACGGGUGCCGCGACCCUUUUGUUUAAAUUCUCCAAAUUUUGAAAUGUUUUCUUUCAAUUACUAACACCUUUAGCAUUCCUUUAGGACCUAGAACAAAGCCCAAGAGGUAAUUGAGGCGUUGGAACAAGUUUUGAAGGUCGAAUUGGAAACACCCAAAUUCUAGGGUUCUUCACGGUUUUGGUGAAAUUGAAGCACUUCCAGGCCAAAUUGGCCUUGGUCUCAGGUAUGAAAGUUGUUCUACUCAUUGAGAUCUUCAAAUCUGCAAAUUUUGGUAAUUUUUGGAAAUAGUUGAAUUUUCCGGCGAGCCGGGGGCGGCCAACCGCCACCCGCGGCGGCGCGUGGCCAAUGGCCCGCCAAUGUCAUUAUUAGCUUGUGAUUAAGGUUCUAGGUUCUGUUUUGAUAAUUGAUGGACGUAAAUUGAAUAAUUGAACCUAAGUUGGUUACGAUUCGUGGUUAGGUGAAAAUGUGAAUUGACGAUCCGACCGUUGGAUCGUCAUCAAACUUUGAUACGUUGUAAUACGUAAUAUUUGAGGAUUAUAGGAACUUACGGAUUGGGAAUCCGAUUUACGGAUCUUCCGGAAUUGAAGUUGUAAGUUCAUAAAGUAGAAUGUUAACCAUCACUUAGUUUUGGAAAUUGACGAAGAUCCGACCGUUGGAUGGUAAUGAAAUUUUAGGAUGUUGUCCUAGAGGUAUAUUGUGGACCUCUGGAAGUUACGGAUUUGAAAUCUGAAUUGCAGAUCAUCCGGAUCGAACUACGUAGUGACGUGUCUUAUAUAAGUUAUGUAUUCUAUCGGCAGAAUUUCUGAGGUUGGAUUUGAUUGUUGUUCUAGGCGCUAAUCGUCAUGACGCCUUGAUGUACGGUGCUAGGGAGUUGUGGGCGAACUCCAGGUGAGUGGGCAGUUUUGUUUUUGUAUUACCUUUAUACUAUUGAUUUUUCCCAGAAAAUGAAUUUAUAUGAAGAUAUGCUUUAAAAAUGCCAUGCAUAGAAUUAUUUGGAAAAUGUGAAUUUCAUAUGAGUUAUAUGAUUGAUAUAUGAUGCAUACAUGUUGCAUGGUGCUGUGGAGGCACAGGUACGUCAGGUGAGUUCAUUAUUCAUUUAAUUGAUUGAUGUUUCGAUGUUUGAGCUCAUAAUCUGCACCCUAGGUGUUAGUGCUUAUAUUAUUCACCACACCGCACGCUCGCCUUGGAUCCAAGUAGGUGGAUGUCGUACAGACCAUGUGAGGGUUCCGACAUGCCAGUCGUACAGACCAUUAGAGGGGUUCCGACUGGUGGGUGACCUUAGAUAUGCGCGCUGAUGAUAUGAUGAGAGAAGCACUAGAGCGUAUUUUACACCUUUCAUCGUAUAGACUACCUUACGUAGUUCCGAGUGAUGUGCAGAGUAGGGCCGUAUAGGUCACUGUGGUGACUCCGGCUUAGUGAGAUAUUGAGCUAUCGAAUUAAUCGUAUAGGACCAACUGCAGGGUCUCCGAUUGAUUCCUUAUUUCACCUGAUUUAUAUUUUGAUUUAUGGCAUGGCAUGAUUUUCUUGAAAAAUGUUAAAGAUUUGGGAUUCAAGCUUUGAGAUUUCAUAUGGUUAUAUAUAUAUAUAUAUAUAUAUAUAUAUAUAUAUAUAUAUUUCUGAAAAGUGUUAAAGGUUUGAGAUUUGAGAUUUUUGCUUAUAUAUAUGUUUAUAUAUAUAUGCUAUUUUCUGGGAAAGUAUACAGGUUUUACGGUGAGGGGGUUAGAAAUGUUUUAAAUGAAAAGUUUUCGAAAAACUUUGUUUUACUGACCCACUCAAUUUUGUUUUGCGCCCCUCCAGGUUCAAGUUAGCAGAGCUUUGGUGGCCACGAGGAAUCCAACGGUGUUCUGACAGAAUUCACAAAAGUAGGACUCACCCUCGGGUGUGUUAUCUUAGUAAUUGGAAAUUUUUUUUAAAGCUUCCGAACUGUGUAAAUGGUUACGUCACUCUCACGUGACGGCCAGCACGCCCUCCUUCGGGACGGGGUGUGUCAGUUGGUAUCAGAGCCUAGGUUGCAAUUCUGGACAUCUUGAUAAUUUCCUAGUGUCUUCUGUCAGAACUAUACCGCCUCGUAGCGAGCCACGUAGUUCGGAUGAGCCUAAUUUCCCGGAUAUAGUAGUUUAGGGGGAAACUAUUGCCAUUGUGAUUCAGUCUAUUAUCUAAAGGGACCUUUUGAGACUGGUUAUAAGUUAAAUUUGAAUCCCUUUAGGGAUAUGAAGGACCUAAGGGAGCAGAUUGAUGGCUUAAUCAAUUGGGAAAAGGCGUUUCAGAUUAUGCAAGGUUAAGGGAAUUUUCCUCCCGAUAGGUAGGUCGAGAUGAUUACCUAGUUUUUGAGUGAUGAAUCUGCAUUUUGAUGGAGAUAGGAAUGUUAUCCGACGAUAUCGGAAGGACAACUGUUUGGAAGUUGUUUAAAGAAUUGUUUAAGAAAAGUUCAUUCCCCCGGCAUAUUGUGAUGGUAGUAAACAAGAAAUUGCAAUUGUGAGACAAGGAAAAUGACGACGGAUGAAUAUUAUAGAAAGUUUACAGACUUGCCUUGUUUCCAUUCUGAUGUUGUUAAUUCGGUCGAGGUGUUAUGUCGUUUUUGGCUGGAUAAUAAGAAGAAGUUGCGUUCUUUGGCGACCACUAUCCAUUGUACUUUUUACCAAGAGUUUACGAGAUGUUGUUGGGCUUUGAAGACUUUGAGAAUAUGAUCAGCGAGAGUAAAGAGGAAUAAGAAAGGAAUGAGAAUCAGAAUAAGACGAUAAAGUUAAAGAUUCGUCAUAUCAAAGACCUCGGAGGACUCAGAGCUUGAAAGGAAGUGAAAUUAGAGCUAAUUUUCCCAGCUUAGGUUUUACUGCCACUGGUCAGAGGCGAAUUGAUAGAUUUACUAGUGAUCCCAGAUUUCUGAGACAAGAUGACUCUGGUAGAGGAAAUGUAUAUUUGUGUCAAGCUAGAUUGCUAUGGGGAAUCAGUUAAUUUUUGUCGACCUGGAUGACCAGAGGUUACUUUUGGGGGUAAGUAAAGUGGAGUGAGUUAUGCCAUUAUUCCUGUUGAGAGAGCAAAGAAGAUUGUUAUCAAAAGGCUGCCAAGAUAUUGAGUUCAUAUGGUGCUAAAUGAUGUUGAUCCUAAUAGUAUGGAAGAUGUAAAGAUGGUUAGACAUUUUCUUGGUGUAUUUCCCAGAUGCCUUACCUAGAUUGCCGCCAGGCAGAGAUGUGGGUUUUAUUAUUGAAUUGUUUUUAGGUACAAAUCCUAUGUUAGAGAUUGGUUCAGGUUGAGUUAAAAGUUCCAUUCAACUUAUUAUAUCACAUUGGAAAAAGCUCCGGUUUAUUUGUGAGGAAUAAAAUGGACAUUAAGGCUAGGCAUUGAUAUUAGGUAAUUGAAUCGGGUAACGAUUGAGAGCUGUUAUCCAUUGUUGUGUAUUGAUGAUUAUUUGAUCAGCUCUGAGGCGCCUGGGUACUUUCUGAGAUUGACUUGAGGUCUGAAUGAUAUUAGUUGAAGAUUAACAGUGAGGAUGUUCAUAAGACUAAAUCCAGGACUCGUUAUGGUCAUUUCAAGUUGGGAGGCCAUACGGAGUGACGAAUGCACCUGCUACUUUUAUGAGUUUGCUGAAGGAAGUAUUCCAGUGAUAUCUGGACCGGGUUGUUAUUGUUUGCCAUUGACGAGAUUGAUAAGAUUAGAGCAGUGCAUGCUAGAUAUUUAAAGUUGGUGUUGCAAAGAUUGAGGGAACGUUGAUGUAUGCUAAGUUUAGCAAAUGCUAAUGUUGGAUAAAUUAAUUAUAUCUACUUAAGGUAUUCAAAUGGAUUCUUAAAAGAGUAGCAACGAUUGAGAAUUUGGAACAAUUGCGAACUGUGACUGAGGUUCAGAGUUUUCUCGGAUUAGCAGGAUAUUGUCGAUAGUUCGUCCAAGAUUUUAAUUAUUGCUUCGCCCUUGGCGAGAUUGAUGAGAAAAGAGGUUAAGUUUGAGUGGGAUAAAAAAAAUUGUGAGUAGAGCUUCAGCAAGUAAAGUAUUCCCUCACUCAUGCAUCUGUUUUCGCACUCCCAGACGAUAGUGGUAAUUAUGUGGUCUAUAGUAAUACUUCUUUGAAUGUACUUGGAUGCGUGUUGAUGCAACAUGGUAGGAUGAUUGCCUAUGCUUCAUGGCCAUUGGGAUCUCAUAAGAUGAAUUACCCUAAUUAUAAUUUGGAAUUAGCAGCUAUCAUCUUUGCUUUGAAGAUUUGGAGACAUUGUCUUUAUGGGAAGAAAAGUGCAUGAUUGUUACAAAAUCAAAAGAGUACCCAAUAUCUGUUUUAUUCAGAGGUAUCUUAAUCUUAGGCAACAAAGGUGGAAUGAGUUGCUUAGUGACUAUGAUUGUGUGACGAGGGUGGUCAAGCUAAUGUUGUGGCUGAUGCAUUUAGUAGGAAGACCCCAGUGAGAAUUAAUGCUUGGUACGCUUGCUAUGUUCAUCUUCUUGUGGAUUUGAAAUCUACUGGAGUAAAGUUGAGUAUCAAAAAUCGAGAAGAAGCCUUACUUGCUAAUUUCUAAGUUGGACCCAUUUGGUAGAUCGUACUCGAUACUCGAGCGUUUGACGAAGAAAUUCAAGAAUUUAUUUAAAGCAAGGAAUAACGGGAAAAAGAAGGACCUUAGAGUUAGAGAAUCAGAUGGCAAGCCUAUGCAAAAGAACAAAGUGUUUAUGCCUAAUGGUGUGGAAUUAAAGAAAGCAAUUUUGACGAUGUACAUUAUUCCACUUCUACAAUGCAUCCCAAAAGUACUAAGAUUUAUCAUACCAUUCGUUCAUGUACUAUUGACGGGUAUGAAAAGAGGAAUGGCGAAGUAUGUUAGUAGGCGUAUCAUCAGUCAUCAGGUUAAAGCAGAAAGAAAUAAGUCUUUUGGAUUAAUGUAGUCAUUUCCCAUUCCACGGCGGAAAUGAGAGAAUAUUACUAUGGAUUUCGUGGACAAGCUUCCUCGUAUACAAAAUAGUUAGGUUGGAAUUUGAAUAAUAAUUGAUCGACUGGUGACGUCAGCGUAUGUUACUUCAGUAUGAGAACGUCAGACCAUAUGUGAUCAUCGAACGAGUCAGUGAAGUUACGUACAGGCUGAGUUGCCUCCAGAGCCGAUGAAAGGGCAUGAUAUGUUUUAUGUUUCGAUACUUCGACAUUAAACCUCAUAUCCUUCACGAGUGAUACCUUCUCAACCUUUGGAAGUCAAUAUGGAUUUGACGUAUGAUGAGGAGCCAGUGCCUAUCUUGUAUUAGAAAGAUGAUUGUACUGAGAAAUAAGACUAUGAGUUUGGUGAAAGUUUAUGCAGGAAUCUUUCAGUGGAAGAAGCUACUUAGAAGUCAAAGAAUCGAAUGAGAGAGAUGUGUUUCGGGCUGUUUCAUGGAUAUUAAUGGAUUGUAAAGAUUGUGUAAAUUUCGAGGACGAAAUUUUUGUAAGGUGGGUAGAUUGUGACAGCCCGUCCCUAAUUUUAAGAAUUUUUAAAGUUUUAAUAAAGGAUUUUACAAAAAUGCCCUUUGAGGCACGCACAUCAUUCGAGGUUAAUCGUUGCGUCGUGCCAUCUAAGAUUUGUUUUCUUGACAUAUCCUCGUAGUACUCGUCGUUACGGACGCGUGGGCGCAGACGGUUCGUGAUUUGGAGUUAUAUUGAAGAAGUUAUUAACGUUUGAAAUUUGGAAUUUUAAGGAAUUAUAAUUUUAGUAAAAAUAUAGAAAUUCUUUUAUGAAAUGGAUGGCUGGGAUGAGGGAAAGGUUUUUGGUGUGUGUAUGUGUAUGAGAAGAAGAAACAGAAAACAGAAAAGAAGAAGAGACUGGGCAGAAAUGCCCAAUCGGAGAAGAAGAAGAUGAGAGUGAACCAGAAGAAGGGAGAGGAAGAAGCUGACCAAUCAGGGGAAGGAAAGGAGGGAAAGGAGGGAGAGUGGUGCACGGGGGAACAGGAGGAAUGGGUCACCCUUGACCCGCGCGACCCAAGCUUCCAAAUCGGCAGGUUUUCGCUGUUUUCGUCCAAUUUUUCCGACGAAUUGAGUCAAG
rnacentral:lncRNA from 1 species